GUUCACCUAGCCCAGAUAGUUUUUUGAUUAAGAAUUUUAUUAAAAAAUUAUUUUUCCAAUAUAUACAAAAUUUAAAUUACCUGGACAAAUAAUUAGGAUCAAAGAUUUUCAAGUUUGGGGAAUACUUAUACUGGCAUUAUAUUGGAAAACUGGUUUGAUGCCAUGGAAUUUGCUACAUGGCAAAUUCCAUGGCAUCAAACUAGUCUGUUCAUCCUAUGAUUAUUGUUGAUAUUACAACUACAGCUCUUUAAAUUUAUUAAAAAUAAACACUAAAAUUACUAGAGUAUUGACAUCAUUUUGUAAUUUUUAUUUUAGCAUAAGUUUCAUGGAAAGAUUAUUUUACCAUUUCAAAAGUCUGUGUUAAAAAAGAUCAGUUUAAAUUAUUCAAAUAUCAAAGCUUGAACUUAAUUAAGAGAGAGCUUGCUUUGAUCAUUUGCUUAUUUGCUAGAAAAUUUAAAUUUUUCAAAUCAAACUGACUUAGCCAACAGCUUUGCAUGAGAGAAAUCAGAAAAGUAUGAUUUCAUUUAGUUGUGUGUGAUGAGAGAUUGAAUGGAAAUAUUGUGGACACAGACUGAUGAAAUGUGCAGAAAUAGGUUCAGAUCACUAAAUAAUAAUCUCAAGGAUUAAUUUGGUGAGAGUAUGAAAGUAUGAGCAGAAUGAAAGAAAUAUGGAUGUAGGUGAAAGUGGAAUAUUUGCAUGUGAAACAAAAAAUAUAUGAAAAGGAAACAUGUCAAGAGCUGUAUCCAGUAAAUUCAGAACAAAGAUAUUCUCUAAUUUAUAUAUAUACAACUUUUGUAAAAUUCAACUUUAUAAAAAUAUUUUCUGUAAAUUUUUUCGUUUUUCAAUUAUAGACAUAAACAUUUAUUAUAUUUGUAAGUUACAGUCUAAACAUGUUGGUUUGCAACAUUUAAAAGAUCAUAUUACUUUAUUUAUUUAUUUUGUGUAUAAACCAAAUUGAGAUCUAGUUCCCAAAAUAUGAUUAA
rnacentral:lncRNA from 1 species